rnacentral:rRNA from 1 species
UACGAAGGGGGCUAGCGUUGUUCGGAUUUACUGGGCGUAAAGCGCACGUAGGCGGAUUGUUAAGUCAGGGGUGAAAUCCCGGAGCUCAAUUCCGGAACUGCCUUUGAUACUGGCAAUCUAGAGUCCGGAAGAGGUGAGUGGAACUCCUAGUGUAGAGGUGGAAUUCGUAGAUAUUAAGAAGAACACCAGUGGCGAAGGCGGCUCACUGGUCCGGUACUGACGCUGAGGUGCGAAAGCGUGGGGAGCAAACAGG